rnacentral:rRNA from 1 species
GACGAACGCUGGCGGCGUGCUUAACACAUGCAAGUCGAGCGGUAAGGCCUUUCGGGGUACACGAGCGGCGAACGGGUGAGUAACACGUGAGCAAUCUGCCCUGCACUUUGGGAUAACCACCGGAAACGGUGGCUAAUACCGGAUACGACCACGUCUCGCAUGGGGUGUGGUGGAAAGUUCUGGCGGUGCAGGAUGAGCUCGCGGCCUAUCAGCUUGUUGGUGAGGUAAUGGCUCACCAAGGCUUCGACGGGUAGCCGGCCUGAGAGGGUGACCGGCCACACUGGGACUGAGACACGGCCCAG